GUUUGUGUGUGUGUGUGUGAGUGUGGUAAUUACAUAUGUGAUAUUAACAACUGUAUACUCAAUAAAUAAAGAGAAAUAAUAACAUAUUUUCCUCAUUUAUCUAUUAUAUUAAUGAGAUCCAAAUGACAUUUAUUUUGCUUACUGUUAAUCCAGCUAUGAUCUUAGUAAUUGUCUUGUAUAGAAAAUACAGAUUACAAAAAAAAAAGAAAGAAAGAAAAUACAGAUUACAUAAAACACAGAAAUUGAGGAUAGAAAUGUAGAAAUGGGUUUUUCUAUGAACGAGCUUGAAACAGUUGCUAUAUUAUGGCUAGUAUUCUCCUCUCAAGGACAGACAGGGUUUCUAGAACUUUUUGUCAACAUAAAAGACUCUUUCAAAUCUGA
rnacentral:lncRNA from 1 species